rnacentral:tRNA from 1 species
GGGUAAAUAACUCAGUUGGUUAGAGUAUACGCUUGAUAAGCGUAAAGUCAGGGGUUCAAGUCCCUUUUUACCCA